rnacentral:rRNA from 1 species
AUUUAGGUAGCGCCUCGUGAACUCAUCUUCGGGGGUAGAGCACUGUUUCGGCUAGGGGGCCAUCCCGGCUUACCAACCCGAUGCAAACUACGAAUACCGAAGAAUGUUAUCACGGGAGACACACGGCGGGUGCUAACGUCCGUCGUGAAGAGGGAAACAACCCAGACCGCCAGCUAAGGUCCCAAAGUCAUGGUUAAGUGGGAAACGAUGUGGGAAGGCACAGACAGCCAGGAUGUUGGCUUAGAAGCAGCCAUCAUUUAAAGAAAGCGUAAUAGCUCACUGGUCGAGUCGGCCUGCGCGGAAGAUGUAACGGGGCUAAACCAUGCACCGAAGCUGCGGCAGCGACACUUAUGUGUUGUUGGGUAGGGGAGCGUUCUGUAAGCCGUUGAAGGUGUGCUGUGAGGCAUGCUGGAGGUAUCAGAAGUGCGAAUGCUGACAUAAGUAACGAUAAAGCGGGUGAAAAGCCCGCUCGCCGGAAGACCAAGGGUUCCUGUCCAACGUUAAUCGGGGCAGGGUGAGUCGACCCCUAAGGCGAGGCCGAAAGGCGUAGUCGAUGGGAAACAGGUUAAUAUUCCUGUACUUGGUGUUACUGCGAAGGGGGGACGGAGAAGGCUAUGUCAGCCGGGCGACGGUUGUCCCGGUUUAAGCAUGUAGGCGGAGGUUCCAGGUAAAUCCGGUACCUUGUUAACGCUGAGGUGUGAUGACGAGGCACUACGGUGCUGAAGUGAUAAAUGCCCUGCUUCCAGGAAAAGCCUCUAAGCAUCAGGUAACACGAAAUCGUACCCCAAACCGACACAGGUGGUCAGGUAGAGAAUACCAAGGCGCUUGAGAGAACUCGGGUGAAGGAACUAGGCAAAAUGGUGCCGUAACUUCGGGAGAAGGCACGCUGAUGUGUAGGUGAAGCCCCUGCGGGUGGAGCUGAAAUCAGUCGAAGAUACCAGCUGGCUGCAACUGUUUAUUAAAAACACAGCACUGUGCAAACACGAAAGUGGACGUAUACGGUGUGACGCCUGCCCGGUGCCGGAAGGUUAAUUGAUGGGGUUAGCGGCAACGCGAAGCUCUUGAUCGAAGCCCCGGUAAACGGCGGCCGUAACUAUAACGGUCCUAAGGUAGCGAAAUUCCUUGUCGGGUAAGUUCCGACCUGCACGAAUGGCGUAAUGAUGGCCAGGCUGUCUCCACCCGAGACUCAGUGAAAUUGAACUCGCUGUGAAGAUGCAGUGUACCCGCGGCAAGACGGAAAGACCCCGUGAACCUUUACUAUAGCUUGACACUGAACACUGGUCCUUGAUGUGUAGGAUAGGUGGGAGGCUUUGAAGCGUGGACGCCAGUCUGCGUGGAGCCAACCUUGAAAUACCACCCUUUAAUGGCUGGUGUUCUAACGUAGACCCGUAAUCCGGGUUGCGGACAGUGUCUGGUGGGUAGUUUGACUGGGGCGGUCUCCUCCCAAAGAGUAACGGAGG